rnacentral:rRNA from 1 species
UACGAAGGGGGCUAGCGUUGUUCGGAAUCACUGGGCGUAAAGCGCACGUAGGCGGAUUGUUAAGUCGGGGGUGAAAUCCUGAGGCUCAACCUCAGAACUGCCUCCGAUACUGGCAAUCUCGAGUUCGGAAGAGGUUGGUGGAACAGCUAGUGUAGAGGUGAAAUUCGUAGAUAUUAGCUAGAACACCAGUGGCGAAGGCGGCCAACUGGUCCGACACUGACGCUGAGGUGCGAAAGCAUGGGGAGCAAACAGG